rnacentral:rRNA from 1 species
CAAUGGACGCAAGUCUGAACCAGCCAUGUCGCGUGCAGGAAGACUGCCCUAGUGGUUGUAAACUGCUUUAGUACGGGAAGAAAUAUAGCUACGUGUAGUUAUUUGCCGGUACCGUAUGAAUAAGCAUCGGCUAACUCCGUGCCAGCAGCCGCGGUAAUACGGAGGAUGCGAGCGUUAUCCGGAUUCAAUUGGGGUUUAAAGGGUGCGUAGGCGGAAGUAUAAGUCAGGGGUGAAAGUUUGUGGCUCAACCAUAAAAUUGCCUUUGAUACUGUAUUUCUUGAGUACAUUUGAGGUAGGCGGAAUGUGUUGUGUAGCGGUGAAAUGCUUAGAUAUAACACAGAACACCGAUUGCGAAGGCAGCUUACUAAACUGUAACUGACGCUGAUGCACGAAAGCGUGGGGAUCGAACAGGAUUAGAUACCCUGGUAG